rnacentral:rRNA from 1 species
GUACACUCCUGCGGGAGGCAGCAGUGGGGAAUUUUGGACAAUGGGCGAAAGCCUGAUCCAGCAAUGCCGCGUGUGUGAAGAAGGCCUUCGGGUUGUAAAGCACUUUUGUCCGGAAAGAAAUCCUUGGCUCUAAUACAGUCGGGGGAUGACGGUACCGGAAGAAUAAGCACCGGCUAACUACGUGCCAGCAGCCGCGGUAAUACGUAGGGUGCGAGCGUUAAUCGGAAUUACUGGGCGUAAAGCGUGCGCAGGCGGUUUGCUAAGACCGAUGUGAAAUCCCCGGGCUCAACCUGGGAACUGCAUUGGUGACUGGCAGGCUAGAGUAUGGCAGAGGGGGGUAGAAUUCCACGUGUAGCAGUGAAAUGCGUAGAGAUGUGGAGGAAUACCGAUGGCGAAGGCAGCCCCCUGGGCCAAUACUGACGCUCAUGCACGAAAGCGUGGGGAGCAAACAGGAUUAGAUACCCCAGUAGUCCCAUGAU